UGACCGUCUUAUAUGUACAAGAAUACCGAAUCUAGUAAGCUCUCGAGAAGUCAGGAAGGGAUGUGAACAUUCGAGAAGUGCAUGAUGAGUUACUAGCGUCACGUGACCUCCACUGUCGUAACAUUAUUAUAAAUUUGGGUAAUAACU